AGGCACGUAGCUCAGCGGUAGAGUGCUGCCUUGACACGGCAGAGGCCAGGGGUUCGACACCCCUCGUGCCUA
rnacentral:tRNA from 4 species